ACAGGCAGAACAGUGCUUGGUCUGUGCGGUUGCUGCAAAGUGUGCGCCAAACAACUGAACGAAUCCUGUGGGGGUCUGUAUGGUUUAAUUGGAACAUGCGACCAGGGACUCCAGUGUGACCUCCCACCUCAAGAAGCCAAUGAGACGGUUACAAUUAUUCAUCAUGUCGGAGUUUGUCAAGCAAAAACCAACCCAAGACCUGCAACAGCAAGACAACCAGCUAAUGGUCAUGCAACAGCCAGUACACCACAAGUUUCUUCUGGUUUUACCAACACCAACUCAAGUCUAGAUCCAAACCUGCAAAAUGAAGUGACAGAUGGAUCUACUUCACUCCAAACAAAGAGAACUGACUUUCUGUGCCUCCUCGUGUCUCUUUGUGUUUUGUCUUAUUUCAAAUGAUUGUGUGUGUGUG